rnacentral:rRNA from 1 species
UACGUAGGGUGCAAGCGUUGUCCGGAAUUAUUGGGCGUAAAGAGCUCGUAGGCGGUUAGUCGCGUCUGCUGUGAAAACUCGGGGCUUAACCCUGGGCCUGCAGUGGGUACGGGCUGACUAGAGUGCGGUAGGGGAGACUGGAAUUCCUGGUGUAGCGGUGAAAUGCGCAGAUAUCAGGAGGAACACCGGUGGCGAAGGCGGGAUCCUGGCCAGUAC